AUUGAACGCUGGCGGCAUGCUUUACACAUGCAAGUCGAACGGCAGCGCGGGCUUCGGCCUGGCGGCGAGUGGCGAACGGGUGAGUAAUGCAUCGGAACGUGCCCAGUAGUGGGGGAUAGCCCGGCGAAAGCCGGAUUAAUACCGCAUACGACCUGAGGGUGAAAGCGGGGGACCGAAAGGCCUCGCGCUAUUGGAGCGGCGGAUGUCGGAUUAGCGAGUUGGUGGGGUAAAGGCUUACCAAGGCGACGAACCGAAGCUGGUCCGAGAGGAAGACCCGCCACCCUGGGACUGAGGCACGGCCCCGACCCCUGCGGGAGGCCGCAGUGGGGAAUUUUGGGCAAUGGGGGCAACCCUGAUCCAGCCAUGCCGCGUGCGGGAAGAAGGCCUUCGGGUGGUAAACCGCUUUUGUUCGGGAAGAAAUCCUCUGGGCUAAUACCCCGGGGGGAUGACGGUACCGGAAGAAUAAGCACCGGCUAACUACGUG
rnacentral:rRNA from 1 species